rnacentral:rRNA from 1 species
UCGAGGAUCUUCGGCAAUGGGCGCAAGCCUGACCGAGCGACGCCGCGUGCGCGAUGAAGGCCUUCGGGUUGUAAAGCGCUGUCGAGGGGGAGGAAGCCGCAAGGUUGACCUAUCCCUGGAGGAAGGACGGGCUAAGUUCGUGCCAGCAGCCGCGGUAAGACGAACCGUCCAAACGUUGUUCGGAAUCACUGGGCUUAAAGGGCGCGUAGGCGGACCACCAAGUCCGGGGUGAAAUCUUUCGGCUUAACCGGAAAAGUGCCUUGGAUACUGGUGGUCUCGAGUGAGGUAGGGGCAUGUGGAACUUCUGGUGGAGCGGUGAAAUGCGUUGAUAUCAGAAGGAACUCCGGUGGCGAAAGCGACGUGCUGGACCUCUUCUGACGCUGAGGCGCGAAAGCUAGGGGAGCGAACGGGAUUAGAUACCCCCGUAGUCC